ensembl:lncRNA
UCCAUUUUUCUCCCCAUGUAUACAAAGCAUAACUGUCAUGAUAUGUGUCAUUUUAAGCCGAUUUUCCAUCCUGUGAUGCGAUGAAUUGGAGCGAAUAAGCUGGAAGCAGCAGAUGGCUAACAGCCCAGUGCGGUUGCUAAGGUUGCCUGAAUGCUACUCGCAGAGUUUUCUGGUUAGCAUAGAACAAGACAAGAGAGCUACACACAGAAUGAGCUAUCAAUCGUGUAAAAAGCGUAAUCCGUAGUCUUAAAAAAAUGAUUCGUCUGUGUUUGGAUGGCAGGCAUAUUGGCAAGUUGUCAUGACAACAGGGAUGUUCUGCUGAUGAAGACUUGCUGUCGACUGUCCAAUCGGAUGACGGCAGCUUAAACUGCAGCGUGAGCGCAAGUGUUGAGGGGGAUACACGUUUUCCAGAUACACACAAUGCCAAGGACGACGCCCUUGUCCAAGACCACCUACGGAUCAUAAUCGGCUACAGGAGAGGGAUGGCUAACGGACUGACACGAUCUACUUUGGAAUGAGAACAAGGCGGAGGAAGAAACGAGACAGGGCCAGAUUAUGGAGAAUUCCAGAGGGUCUUCAAAAUCCAGAAAGAAAGCAUGGAGGCUUGGGAAGGAGCAGGAUGGUAUGACCUUCCUGGAACCCUUUUCACUCAGAGGAACUGUUUCUCUGAAGGUACUGGGACAUUUUCACUGUUACGCCUACAGAGUCUUCACACAGUUUUAGUUUCUGUACGGUCCCACAUAUGCACCCUAAAGAUUUACACUUCCCAAAAACAGUUUCCUUUCCCUUUCAUCAAUGGAUAGUCUCACCUUGAUACUGUAGAUCGAUACCUGAGAACUACUGCUGUAAUCAUUAAGACACUGAACAUCCUUUCAGCGCAAUUAGUACUAUUUGGAUGUGUUUCCUUUUUGAGUCUGCUUCCUCUCAAAUUUGUCUCACAUUGUCUCAGGGAUUUUUUACUUUGCCACUGUCUCCUCUGGCUUGCUCACUAGGGAUUAACAUCUACAUCCGGACUUCUGUCAAUUUUGAGACGAUGUCUACUGUUAAACUGGCUAUACAAAUAAAAAUAUUGACUUGAAUAUUAGCGACUACAUAUAUCACUUGUCAUUUGCAUUUAGUCUUUAGAACUAAACUGUUCUGUUUUCCUGUUCAUCAAACAGCUCGAGGCAGAAUGUCAGAGCAGAAAUCCAACCAUCAACAACCGUCUUCUACACCCAGCAAUAAGAGUCUGUGAGAAGAGCUAAAGUUAAGCAAGAAGGAUGGUGUGGCCGUCCAGAAUGUCUUUUCACUCAGAGGAACUGUUUAUCUAAAGGUACUAGUAUUUCCUAACUGAGAUAUGUAUGUAAAUUUGUACUUUGGCGUUUGGAUUAGAUCAAAUCUGGUGAUAUUGUUGGCUGGGUAAAGUUAAACUUUGGUUUGGCAAGUUUGUCAGGAUACUGUGUGGUCUAGACAGGGAACAUGAGGAGGGUUAUUCCAUGCUUGUGUGUCUUUGUGUAUGAGGGGGUGAGUAAAGCUGAAUGAAUGAAAAAUUUGUAUGCCUGCAUGUGCAUUAGUACUUGUAAAGAUUUACAGAGUUUAAUCAAUAACGCAGCCUACGUAUUUAUGAUUCAAAACAGUGUGCUGUUUUGUGUCAAAUCUGGGAGGCGGUCAUGGCAUCUUUGUAUCGAUAAAAUUUGAUUCCACACAGGCAUCUUUUCAUUGCUAGUGUACUAUUAUUUAGAAACAUUUAUGCAUCUGUCAGUUGUAGUGUACGAGGCAGGGCUUCUGUCUUUGUCACUCCCACUAUAGGAGGUGCUGUCUGGUUCCAUCAUUGCCAGUGUAGGAGGUGUGGUCUGAUCUCUUCAUUGCCAGUAUAGGGGGUGUGGUUUGAUCCAUAACUGCCAGUCUAGGAGUUCAAUUCAAUUCAAUUUUAUUUGUAUUGCGCUUUUAAUAAUGGACAUUGUCUCAAAGCAGUUUUACAGAAACAUAUCAACACAGGUUACUGAUUUUAAGUGUGUGAAUUUAUCCCUAUUGAGCGAGCCAGUGACGACGGUGGCGAGGAAAAACUCCCUGAGAUGAUAUGAGGAAGAAACUUUGAGAGGAACCAGACUCAGAAGGGAACCCGUCCUCAAAACCAUUUCUAUGGUACUUCAAACAGCACCAUCCUCAACAAUCGCCAGGCUGUAGCCUCCAGUUGAUGAGAGCUCCAUGCAGAGGUAGGGCAUCAGGAUGGAUCAGGCAGGUCUGGAGAGCAGAAAGGGUCAGGAUCACUGGCAUCUCCAUAAAAUCAUGAGUUGUGGUCUGACCCUGUAACUGCCAGUGUAGGAGGUGUGGUCUGAUCCUGUCACUGCCAGUGUAGGAGGCGUGGUCUGAUCCCAUCAUUGCCAGUGUAGGAGGUGUGGCCUCUGUGCCUGUCAUUCCUGUGAUCCUGUCACUCCAGGUAAAGGAGGUGUGGUGUGAUCCUGUCACUCCGGGUAAAGGAGGUGUGGUGUAAUCCUGUCACUCCGGGUAAAGGAGGUGUGGUGUAAUCCUGUCACUCCGGGUAAAGGAGGUGUGGUGUAAUCCUGUCACUCCGGGUAAAGGAGGUGUGGUGUAAUCCUGUCACUCCGGGUAAAGGAGGUGUGGUCUGAUUGUGUCACUCCCAGUGUAGGAGGCGGGGCCUUGUGCUUAUCAGUCCCAGAGAUUUAAAACCUUUUUACAUCUCAAAGCAUUUUUAUUGUAAAUAUUAUUAUUUUAUCAUAAAUCUUAUUACGCUUUAACAGUUUGCACAAUACUGUAUCACAUUGUGUUACAUUAUUUCUGCCUUAAAACAUACCUAAUUUAAUCACUGCCUGCUUUAAAUUAUCUUUAUUUUGUUGGUUUGUUGAUCAUGUGACUUGAUGUACUGUAGUCUCAGACAAAUACACACAUGUAUGUUCCUGUGCGUGAAUGUCUC